GUCCGUUAGCAUCUCAAAGAAGUGCCAGAAAAAAACCUCUAUGACACAGGAGAAGUUCCUGAUUUUAACAUUUCUGAAGGGAGCUGCUGACAGAGAGGAUGAAAACAUACACAUUUUGAUGUCCACGCUUUAGGAGCAUUACUAAAUAAGUAAAACUAAAAUAUAUAUAUAUAUUUAUUGUAAAUGAUUAUAUAAAUUAUAUAUUCUGUGAAUUAUUAUUUUUCUUUUCUGCAUUUCACCUCUGCUAUAGUAUAUGCCUUAUACCUGGCAUUGUAUAAUAAAUAUUGUUGUCUCUGUGACUUAUGUUCCUAGGUUCUUCCAUGCUGAUGGCUGUGCUCUAGUCAUAUCUCCUGUCGAAGAACAUUUUUAGACAUUAUGAACCAUGAAUAAGUUUAGCUCCAACCCCAGUUAAGCAGACCUGAGCAGCUGAUCAAGAAUCAGCAGAAACUCUGCAGAACAUUGGUCCUUCAGCCCAGGACUGGACACCAGUGUUAGUGUCUGUCUUAGAAGCUGAAGAAAAAAGGUCACACCUUAUAGGAAAUAAACGCCUCCUAAGUGUAUGGAAAUACCUGGCUGAGGAGAUCAGUGACAUAAACCAGAUAAAACUGUCAGUGGUAAGUGUUUACAUAUCCAUAUCCGAAUGGAAUUGCUACAACCUCUUAUCUAAUAUGACUCGAAGUGAAUAGAGACUAUGUACCAUAAAAAGUAGAUAAUGUAAUUAUUCAAGCCUAUUUGUGAAACUGGACCACAAAACCAGUUACAAGGGUAAUUGUUUUUAUUUUAUUUUUUAGAUUUUUAUUUCAAUAAUAAUACUAAAUAAGUUUUCCAUUGAUGUAUGGUUUGUUAGGAGGAAAAUAUUUGUCUGAGAUACAACUAUUUGAAAAUCUGGAAUCUGAUGGUGCUAAAAAAUCUAAAUAUUGUGAAAAAUAUUUCAAAUCCAGAGCAAAGCAUUUUAUUAAUAAAAAAUUAAGUUGAUACAUUUAUGGUAGGGAAUUUACAAAAUAUAUUUAUGGAACAUUUUCUUUUUUUAAAUCCUAAUGAUUUUAGGCAUGAAAGAAAAAUCAAUAACUUUUUUGAGACUGCCAUAUAAAUAUAUGUAUGGAUAAUCUCACAUACUGGUAAUGUGGUACAUUGUCCUAAUGAAUUGUCCCUUUUUUUUUUCUUUU